rnacentral:rRNA from 1 species
CAGUCGCCACGGUAAUACGGAGGGUGCAAGCGUUAUCCGGAUUUAUUGGGUUUAAAGGGUCCGUAGGCGGAUCUGUAAGUCAGUGGUGAAAUCUCACAGCUUAACUGUGAAGCUGCCAUUGAUACUGCAGGUCUUGAGUAAAUUUGAAGUGGCUGGAAUAAGUAGUGUAGCGGUGAAAUGCAUAGAUAUUACUUAGAACACCAAUUGCGAAGGCAGGUCACUAAGAUUUAACUGACGCUGAUGGACGAAAGCGUGGGGAGCGAACAGGAUUAGAUACCCCAGUAGUCCCUGUCUCUUAUAA